GUCUCAGAACGGCAAGCGAUGCCCAAUCUGGACCAGUAGAGCACCGAGUAUCCCAACCUCAAUGUUUUGCAACGAAUCGAUCCCUUCGUCGACGAAAUUCUCAUCACCGCCGCUCAUGCCACCUUCUACAAUUGUCUUUCGGGUCCUCGUUGAGCACACGAGAAGAAUCGGAGUCAUUGAGUGGGCAAAUGUAAGCUGAGGAUCUGAUUGAUGCCCUCCGCUAAGUGGACUGGUAUCACCGCCGCAUCCUCUCUCUCCAAAUUCUUUUCGAGAUUCACCGCAGCGAGAUCCUCCUCUGAAUGGAGUAGCCGCCUCAAAUGCAACCAGCACGAGCACGAUUUCCUUCUUGGGAUUUGUAGUUCUCUUCCAAAAAAACACUUGAUUUUGAGUUCAAUUUGUACAGUAGCUGAAGGUAUCUCCGUACUUUUACCCUUCGGUUUCUGUAAAUUAAAUCGGGCAGUGCUUUAACUAA